AACUCUGAAAUAUGUUGCAUUUUUAGGAAUCGAAGCAUAUAAUCUCCAAAGACAUCCUUCAACCGUGCAUUUUACUGUAUAAGUUGUUUUGGUGGAUUUCAAAACCUUCAUCUGAACAUUGUGAGCGAUGUGCCAUUGAUCUAGCGCGGCCACUAAAGAUGCCUUAUCCUAAAAGCCAAGUCCCGUCAAUGCUAGGUAGAUCAGUAUUGGUACGUCUAACAUCGAAUUCAUUCGAAUUUACAACAUAUUGAUUUAUCUAAUUGUUAUCUGUAGGAAAUUGCUCCGGAUGGUCAAUAAAAUCAAGUUCUUCAUCAGAAUUGUCUACAUAUUCGUUGUUUACAUGCGGGUCGUCAUGAACACUGUAAAUGGCAUUCGCAAGGCAAUUUAAUCCUCCAUCGUGAUCAUCCUCAACGUCAUCAGCUAGAUCAUUCCAAUCGUCGUCCUCAUUGGGGUAAUGAUCAUUAUUAUGAAUGGGUGCAUCAUCCUGAUUACCGUCAUUAUCAUCUCCUUCAUCGACAAUAUUAUCAAGAACUUCAUUUCAAUUUUCAUAGGACGUAAAAAGCCUGCAAUGGGUUCCGAAUUUUUACUAUAUUAGGUACAUUUUCACUUACUAUCAAUUUAAAAAGAAUCAAUUUUCUUUACUCCCAAUCAAAAUUUUCAUUAGGUGCAUGAAAUAUCAUGGAUUGUGCACGUGAGGUCGAGAGUUCCGCACGUGGAGAUUGACUUUGUCUGCAAUAUUUACAUUUUAAAUUUAUCAAAAUAUUAAAUAAUUAAAUAAAAUAUUCACCGAAAUCUAGAGAUAUCACUUACCUUGAGGUCGAGGGUUCAUUACUAACUUCGCGGUCACCAAUUAGAUUAUCCGAAAAACCCACAUCGAUAUCAUUAUGAACCAGUCUUGUGUAAUGGCCUUGCGACUGAUAUUGUGUCUCUGAUGGAUAUAAAUCUUUCUCGAUGUAUACCGACACACAUCCAGAAUUUUUAAACAAUCCAAUUAAACCCUCCAAUGAUUCAUCAUCUACUAUAUCGUGAGUUAUAUAUUCAUUCACUCCCGUAGGGCAUCGAAUAGUGAAUUUAAGACUAAAUUAUUCUCUAUUACAAUUUACUAAGCCAUACAUUCUCAUCUCAAAAUGAGUAUAUGUCGUAUCUGAACGAAUCGCGAUUAAUUUCUUUCGACCGCCGACAUAUCGGGGACCAUUUCCAUCCGUAAUUAACUGUCCAUCCUAAUGAACACUAAGAGAUAUCCGACGACUAGUCAUUUUAACUACACAUAAAAAAUUUUUCUAAUCUCCUCUCAAAAUAUCUAGUGAA
rnacentral:lncRNA from 1 species